rnacentral:rRNA from 1 species
UACGAAGGGGGCUAGCGUUGUUCGGAAUGACUGGGCGUAAAGGGCGCGUAGGCGGCGCAUCAAGUCGGGCGUGAAAGCCCCGGGCUCAACCUGGGAACUGCGUUCGAGACUGGUGUGCUAGAGUUCGGGAGAGGAGAGUGGAAUUCCCAGUGUAGAGGUGAAAUUCGUAGAUAUUGGGAAGAACACCAAUGGCGAAGGCAGCUCUCUGGACCGAUACUGACGCUGAGGCGCGAAAGCGUGGGGAGCAAACAGGAUUAGAAACCCUUGUAGUCC